rnacentral:rRNA from 1 species
AACGGCCACAUUGGGACUGAGACACGGCCCAAACUCCUACGGGAGGCAGCAGUGGGGAAUAUUGCACAAUGGGGGAAACCCUGAUGCAGCGACGCCGCGUGAGUGAAGAAGUAUUUCGGUAUGUAAAGCUCUAUCAGCAGGGAAGAAAUACUGACCAUAGGGUCAGCAGACGGUACUUGACUAAGAAGCCCCGGCUAACUACGUGCCAGCAGCCGCGGUAAUACGUAGGGGGCAAGCGUUAUCCGGAUUUACUGGGUGUAAAGGGAGCGUAGACGGCAGCGCAAGUCUGAAGUGAAAUGCCAGGGCUUAACCCUGGAACUGCUUUGGAAACUGUGCAGCUAGAGUGCAGGAGAGGUAAGUGGAAUUUCUAGUGUAGCGGUGAAAUGCGUAGAUAUUAGGAGGAACACCAGUGGCGAAGGCGGCUUACUGGACUGUAACUGACGUUGAGGCUCGAAAGCGUGGGGAGCAAACAGGAUUAGAUACCCUGGUAGUCCACGCUGUAAACGAUGAUUACUAGGUGUUGGGGGACCAAGGUUCUUCG